AUUGAACGCUGGCGGCAGGCUUAACACAUGCAAGUCGACCGAGUGGCGGAAGGGUGAGUAAUGCUUGGGCAUCUAGCUUAUGGAGGGGGAUAACUACUGGAAACUGUAGCUAAUACCGCGUACCAUAGGAUGAGCCCAAGUGGGAUUAGGGAGUUGGUGAGGUAAAGGCUAACCAAGCCGACGAUCUCUAGCUGGUCUGAGAGGAUGACCAGCCACACUGGGACUGAGACACGGCCCAGACUCCGACGGGAGGCAGCAGUGGGGAAUAUUGCGCAAUGGGGGCAACCUGACGCAGCCAUGCCGCGUGAAUGAAGAAGGCCUUCGGGUUGUAAAGUUCUUUCGGUAGCGAGGCGUUAACUACAGAAGAAGCACCGGCGAACUCCGUGCCAGCAGCCGCGGUAAUAC
rnacentral:rRNA from 1 species